GCUCCGUGUAAGCUUACUUGUUUAUUGUGUUUGUGAAAAAAAUCCUAGUUUACGCUCGUCUACAAGCUUUUUGAUGCUCUGUAUGAGCUGUGAUGCAAAGUUAUUUGCCAACAAGUGCAUUUGUACUGUCUUCAUAGUACAUGUAUGUUGUUCAACAGUCAACCCAAGUUCUUCGAGGCCCUUUAUUGCCUCUGGAACGAGUCAGGACACUGCCUAAUGGCUCUAGACUCAAAUGUUGGAGAAAAGAGAAACUGUCUCUUGUGACGAUGGCUGGUAAAGUGAAUGAUUGCUGGCAUCAUCCUCUCUUAUUUCAAAGAUUUCCAUUUCUAAGGCUAAACAUUCCAUCUCAACAUCAUCCUCGAUAGAAUAUUUGUCAUUUUGUAUCUCCUGUACAUAAAAAAACAUUUCUGUAUUAUUGAUUCAGUUGUACCACCCCUNCAACACUCCGACCUUAUUUAGCCUAUAAUAUACAAGGAAUAAGAAUGCACAUUCUGUAGACAUGGCUAUUAGUAAAGUGCUGAAAUACGUUUUGUUCAUAACUUUUACAUUUCUCACGCGGUGUUUAAUUUGGCUGAGGGUUAUUGUCUAAUCGAGGACAGAUGCAUGGAAUGGCGAAUCACUAAUACUCAGAAUUCGCGCGCGCUAGAAAAAUUAAGGCAAAACGAAACAAAACAACGGCAAACAAGCAAAAACCAGUACAGGAAACUGGCUUAUUAUUUUAAAAAUAACUAUANUUAG
rnacentral:lncRNA from 1 species